rnacentral:lncRNA from 1 species
GAAUGGGCAGAGAAUAUGAAAACCCUUGAAUUCUUUUGUGGCAUCUCUUUUUCCAGGGCUUAGAGCCAAGACUGGAAACGCAGUCAGGCAGCAGGAUGGUGAAUCCAGGGACUUUCUAUGCCAGCAGCUCAAGGGCAAGUCCCAGAGAAUUUGUCCUGCCAGCGUUCCUUGAGAGCUUGGUCAUUCUAGUAGACUUUGGCCGGGCAACAGAGAAAGAGCAGAAGACCGAGUGGGGAAUGAGAGUCUGCAGUACAACCAUCAGCACAUUGGCCUCACUUCUUACCCCACGGCUCUGAGAGACCCGCUAGGAAGCAGAAAGGAGACGUCAUUUGUGGGGAUUGCUAUCGUGGCUGGUGGGAAACAAAAAAGACGCAAGACUGGUCUCCCUUCAAACCACUGCUCAUCCCGCCGCCUCGUUUAGCCUGUCCCAUCUCCGUCCGCACAACAGCUCCUCUCGGCUUCCGGCUGACAAGGGAAAGGAGGACCCUGGAGAGCUGGGCCGGCUCCGAGGGGCUGGGACCUUGCUCUGUGGCCCGGGGACGCCUUCCCUGCACCCUCUGUGGCUCUCGGCUUUGCCGCUUCCGGCCAGCAGCCUCUGAGCUUCCCAUCUUGAGAGGCUGUGGCUCACAUCUCCAAGAAUUAAAAUUCAGGAAGCCAAGUAUUAAAAAAAGAAUCAAGCUUCUAACGUUGCCUAACUAAACUUGAGUCAUUCACAAUACCACCUGUGUGAUUUUUUUUGCUAUAUCUAUAUCCAGGUUCUAUUUUUACUUAAUAUACAGCCAACUCAUUCUUAAAUUAAAUCAGUGUAUUUUAAACAGGAAAUUUUAUAUCACUAC